rnacentral:rRNA from 1 species
AUUGAACGCUGGCGGCAUGCCUUACACAUGCAAGUCGAACGGUAACAGGUCUUCGGAUGCUGACGAGUGGCGAACGGGUGAGUAAUACAUCGGAACGUGCCCGAUCGUGGGGGAUAACGAGGCGAAAGCUUUGCUAAUACCGCAUACGAUCUACGGAUGAAAGCGGGGGAUCUUCGGACCUCGCGCGGACGGAGCGGCCGAUGGCAGAUUAGGUAGUUGGUGGGAUAAAAGCUUACCAAGCCGACGAUCUGUAGCUGGUCUGAGAGGAUGAUCAGCCACACUGGGACUGAGACACGGCCCAGACUCCUACGGGAGGCAGCAGUGGGGAAUUUUGGACAAUGGGCGAAAGCCUGAUCCAGCCAUGCCGCGUGCAGGAUGAAGGCCUUCGGGUUGUAAACUGCUUUUGUACGGAACGAAAAGCCUCUUUCUAAGAAAGAGGGGUCAUGACGGUACCGUAAGAAUAAGCACCGGCUAACUACGU